CUUGGAGGAAUGUAUAGCAAUUGCUAUUUGCAUUAAAAGUUUUAGUGUAAAAUCGACUUUGUCGAAUAAAAUUCUGGGUAUAAUUAUGAUAAUGACAUUACCUACUCAUAAGUCUUGACCAAAUUACGUGCCAGCAGUCGCGGUAAUACGUAGAAGACAAGUGUUAUUCAUCUUUAAUAGGUUUAAAGGGUACUUAGACGGUAAAUAAAGCCUCCAAAAGGUACUAGUUUGCUAGAGUUUUAUAUGAAGGAGUUUUAAAGUACUACUGGUGUAGAGAUGAAAUUCAGUUAUACCUUACAUGGCACAGGUUAAGGCGAAAGCAUCUUCUUAUGUAAAAACUGACGUUGAAGGACGAAGGCUUUGUGUCUCGAACAGGAUUAGAUACCCUAGUAGUCUAAGCAGAAAAUGAUGAAUGUCAUAGAUUAGAUUUAAUUUGAUCUGUAAAUGAAAGUGUAAGCAUUCCACCUCAAGAGUAAUUUGGCAACAUUGGAACUGAAAUCAUUAGACCGUUUCUGAAACCAGUAGUGAAGUAUGUUGUUUAAUUUGAUAAUCCGCAAAAAACCUUACCACAAUUUGAAUAGAUAUAUUUUAUCAUACAAGCGUUGCACGGCUGUCUUCAGUUAAUGUCGUGAGACUUUGGUUAGUUCCAUUAAAUUAACGUAAACCCUUACUUUAUUUUUAUAUAAAGUAGUUCACCGCUAUAUUGGAUGUGAUAAUAGGGAUCAAGACAAGUCAUCAUGACCUAAAUAUUGUGGGCU
rnacentral:rRNA from 1 species